rnacentral:rRNA from 1 species
UACGUAGGGGGCGAGCGUUGUCCGGAAUCAUUGGGCGUAAAGCGCGUGUAGGCGGUUUGGUAGGUCCGCUGUGAAAACUCGAGGCUCAACCUCGAGACGCCGGUGGAAACCAUCAGACUAGAGUCCGGAAGAGGAGAGUGGAAUUCCGUGGUGUAGCGGUGAAAUGCGCAGAUAUCAGGAAGAACACCCGUGGCUAAGGCGGCUCUCUAGUACGGUACUGACGCUGAGACGCGAAAGCGUGGGGAGCGAACAGG